rnacentral:rRNA from 1 species
AAUACAUGCAAGUCGAGCGAACCGAUUAAGAGCUUGCUCUUAAGAAGUUAGCGGCGGACGGGUGAGUAACACGUAGGUAACCUGCCUAUAAGACUGGGAUAACUCCGGGAAACCGGGGCUAAUACCGGAUAACAUUUUGCACCGCAUGGUGCGAAAUUGAAAGGCGGCUUCGGCUGUCACUUAUAGAUGGACCUGCGGCGCAUUAGCUAGUUGGUGAGGUAACGGCUCACCAAGGCGACGAUGCGUAGCCGACCUGAGAGGGUGAUCGGCCACACUGGGACUGAGACACGGCCCAGACUCCUACGGGAGGCAGCAGUAGGGAAUCUUCCGCAAUGGACGAAAGUCUGACGGAGCAACGCCGCGUGAGCGAUGAAGGCCUUCGGGUCGUAAAGCUCUGUUGUUAGGGAAGAACAAGUGCUAGUUGAAUAAGCUGGCACCUUGACGGUACCUAACCAGAAAGCCACGGCUAACUACGUGCCAGCAGCCGCGGUAAUACGUAGGUGGCAAGCGUUAUCCGGAAUUAUUGGGCGUAAAGCGCGCGCAGGUGGUUUCUUAAGUCUGAUGUGAAAGCCCACGGCUCAACCGUGGAGGGUCAUUGGAAACUGGGAGACUUGAGUGCAGAAGAGGAAAGUGGAAUUCCAUGUGUAGCGGUGAAAUGCGUAGAGAUAUGGAGGAACACCAGUGGCGAAGGCGACUUUCUGGUCUGCAACUGACACUGAGGCGCG